rnacentral:rRNA from 1 species
GAUCCUACGGGAGGCAGCAGUGAGGAAUAUUGGUCAAUGGGCGAGAGCCUGAACCAGCCAAGUCGCGUGAGGGAAGACGGUCCUAUGGAUUGUAAAUCUCUUUUGCCGGGGAGCAAAAAGCGGUACGUGUACCGCAUCGAGAGUACCCGGAGAAAAAGCAUCGGCUAACUCCGUGCCAGCAGCCGCGGUAAUACGGAGGAUGCGCGCGUUAUCCGGAUUUAUUGGGUUUAAAGGGUGCGCAGGCGGCGAGGUAAGUCGGCGG